CAGAGGUGAAAGUUUCAGAAAAGCAAUUAUUACUGACAGCAAUAAAAUUGCUUAGCACUCAUUCUUGAGCUGAAAUUCAGACCGUGUUGUUGAGCCGGCUGCAUUGUAGAUCUUAAGCUCUCUAUUACACCACUAUUUCGACUUGUAUUAAUUUGGAAAAUUUCAGUUUCAUGGUCCCUCAAUUACUUGAUUAAGUUUCAUGUUGCCACUGAUCACGGAAAGUCUAUAAUUUUUAAAGCAUAUGAUAUAAGCAUUUUAUGAGCAAACCAGAAAAUGACAAAGUUUUUGUCAAACAUAAAAAAAUGAAAAGUUUGUCAGUAUUUGGCUUUGUUGCAUCAGUUAAACAUUGAGAAGAUUGAGAUGGCUUUUAUUACAAACCAAACUGGUUGCUUGCAAAUAAUGCACGCACUUUAUUAGUUUUAAUUCAGUUUUCUUUUAGUCAUCUAGCUUUCAAUUUUCGG